GUAGAAUCCUUUGUAGAUGACUUACAUACGCGACGGGGUAUUGUAAGUGGCAGAGUGGCCUUGCUGCCACGAUCCACUGAGAUUCAGCCCUUUGUCGCUUUGAUUC
rnacentral:ncRNA from 1 species